rnacentral:rRNA from 1 species
UACGGAGGGUGCAAGCGUUAUCCGGAUUCACUGGGUUUAAAGGGUGCGUAGGUGGGCUAGUAAGUCAGUGGUGAAAUCUCCGGGCUUAACCCGGAAACUGCUUCGCAUACUGAUGAGCUUGAGGAAUGCAGAGGUUAGUGGAAUUCCUGGUGUAGCGGUGAAACGCGUUGAUAUCAGGAGGAACACCCAUGGCGAAGGCAGCUAACUGGGCAUUAUCUGACGCUGAGGCGCGAAAGCGUGGGUAGCAAACAGG